CCAUCCUAUCUAAGCCAGAAGGACACAUUCAUACCAGGAAUUUCUUUCCAGAUUUCCUGAUGGGAGCCCUCUUACCUCAUCUGCCCAGCACUCAUGGGGCACAGGAAGCUCCAAAUUGCUCAUAUCGGUGACAAAUCAUGAAGAACUUCAGAGAGCUUACUAAGCCACCACUUCUUCUGAGAAACCUGAACCAGCCCACCCUCCUGCCACUGAUCUGACAAGUCCUGCUAAAGGGAUCUCACUUCUUACCUUGUGUCUGGGGAUCCAGCCAGGCCAACAGGAUGCCACUGCUGGAAGCGGUCAUCUUCUCUUCCCUCUGGACCUUUGGUCUUGGGCAGGUGAGGUUGGAACAACCUCAAAUAUCAAUUUCUGGAACAAAAUAUAAGAGCAUUAACAUAUUAUGCAAGUUGCAUGCUCAAAACUUUAACACUAAAGUGAUACACUGGUACCGACAGAAACCAGAGCAGGACAUAGAACAUCUAACAUGGGUCCAAACAAGCGCUAGCAAAGUCCCAUCUUUAGAUGGGAGGAAAAACAAACUUGAGGCAAGUAAAAAUGCUCUUACUUCCACUUCAACUUUGAAAAUAAAUUUCUUACAAGAAGAAGAUGAGGCCAUGUACUACUGUUCCUGCUGGAGUAGGAUCCACAGCAUCAGAGUUGACAAGAGAAGCUGCAUAAGAACCAUCUUCAGGUCUGACCCACUCACAUCCUUCUCAACAUGGGCAACCACAGCUGUGUACCCAGCCUGAGCCUCUCUCCCUUGGCAGUAUUUCCUGAGCUUUGCAGGAAGACAUCAUCAGCUCUGCUCAGACAGUGAAUCCCACAUAAUAUCAGCAAUGAUGGCAUAUGUAUAAGAAUUUUGAUACUGUUUUCCUUGAAAUUCACUUGUCUGGGAACUCUGAAAAUAUAGGGUGGAUGGUUCAGAGAAAACUCCAUUUGUUUGUUAACUCAAUUUAGAGGAAGAUAUUUUUAGUACUUGAAUGGUUCAGAAAGGGUAUACAUUUUACAUAAAUAUUUCCCUGUUAUUGGGUUAUUUCUGAUUUUACUCAUAGGCAUACUAUUCCUCAGAGAUGCAAAGAUCUGUCAAAUGUAAAAAUUGGUGCCUUUUGUUAGUGUCUCUGGCCAUCCUGAAGGAAUCUAGUGACCAUUAAAUCCUGAGGUAAACAAUCAGCUAUUUCAGGGAUAGGAGAGACCGAGGAAUAAAUCCUGUGUCCUAGAGGUAGAAAGAGCACCUGACUCCACAUUCAAGGAUCAAUACUGGGACAAAACAACCACUGCUCCAUUGGAACAGACCCCUGAGCAAAUGAAGUGCCUCCAGAAUGGUAGAUAUAUACCUCUAAGACUUUAUUUUCCAAGGCUGUACAAAGAAAAAUAAAGAUCCUGAAUAAGGAUUAGAUGGCUAAAAGAAAGAUAAUACACACUCCCUACAUGUCUAAAGAAAAGAAAGGC